UCUCUCUGCCAUGUGAGGGUACAACAAGAAGGCUGCCAUAUGGAAACCAGGACCAGAACCUGACCAUGCUGGCACCCUAAUUUUGAACUUCCCAUCCUCUAAAACUAUGAAAAGCUGGAUACUGGAGACACCAGCAACGCAAAAACGCCAAUGGAGGAGACCCAGAAAAGAAAAGCCCCAAGAAAAGCAUGCCCUCUCUAUCCAGGAAGCGGGCAGCCUAGCAAGACAGAAGCUUUUCGACAAUAACCACUCCACUCUAGCUAACCACCACAGAAAAAAACAGCAGCCCACCCCCACCAACCCUGCCAGCAAAGGCCAAGUGGUGAAGCUAGAUGUCCAUCCUCUGUAGGCUGUAAAAAGAAGUCCCAAUCUUCUGCUGGGGUAGAAACAGAGAAGGCUGAGUGGGGGAGCCACCCACAAAGAUAUCAGUGAAGACCAAGAGGAGACCAUUCAACUUCACUCCUAGGUUAAUUCUCUUCAAUAGUAGCUGCUACUGAAUUAAUCUGGCCAGGAGGCAAAGUAGGGCAAGAAUAGAGUGUAUUACAGAAAUUCACAAGAAAGUGCUAACUCGCCAUUUAAGUACUGUUUAUAGCUAGGUGUGGUGACUCAUGCCUGUAAUCUUAGCACUUUGGGAGGCAGGCGGAUUACUUGAGGCCAGGAGUUCGAGACCAGCCUAGCCAACAUGGGGAAACCUCAUCUCUACUAAAAACACAAAAAUCAGCCGGGCGUAGUGGCACAUGCCUGUAAUCCUAGCUACUUAGGAGGCUGAGGCACGAGAAUCACUUGAACCCAGGAGGUGGAGGUUAUAGUGAGCCAAGAUUGUGCCACUGCACUCCGGCCUAGGCAACAGAGUGAGACUGUCUCUCAAAAAAAAAAAAAAAGAAAGGAAAAAAAAGUACUGUUUAUAGAGCUCCUAUUGUUACAAGGCACUAGGCUGGAGAAAUGGAAGGAAAGAUAUGUUAAUAGAUGGGGGCUGACAAAAAUUAAAAAAAAUAAAGUAGUGUCUAAAAGUUGCGAGACUACGUUGGGGGAAAGAAAGGCUUGUUAGAAGUCACGGCAUGCUCUGAUUGUGACAAAGAGUGCUGUGGCUAAGUGACCCAGAUCUAUUGACAAGGCUUGGA
rnacentral:lncRNA from 10 species